GCUCUUGUGGCGGAACUGGUAGACGUGUUAGUUUUAGGAGCUAAUGCCUUAGGCGUAUGGGUUCGAGUCCCAUCGAGAGCA
rnacentral:tRNA from 1 species